AGGAUCAUUAGCGAUUGCGAAUUGUUGCCUUCUGUGCUGGCCAGCUCUGGCAAGUGCACGUCGGUAACUUUCAUCCAAUCUCCUGUGCACCUUUGGCCUUUGCUUGCUUCGGCGGGCAGAGGAAUUACACACACGCGAAUGUAAUGAAAUUUAUUGUCGUGCGCAAGCACUAAUGUACAACUUUCAACAACGGAUCUCUUGGCUCUCGCAUCGAUGAAGAACGCAGCGAAAUGCGAUAAGUAAUGUGAAUUGCAGAAUUCAGUGAAUCAUCGAAUCUUUGAACGCACCUUGCACCCUUUGGUAUUCCGAAGGGUAUGCUCGUUUGAGUGUCAUUGUACUCUCACACUCCCGAUCUUUGGAUUGGGUGCGGUGGACUUGGGUGUUGCUGCUUCACCGUGGCUCACCUCAAAUGAAGUAGUGCACCUCUUGGUUGGACAUAGUACGGCGUGAUAAGUGUCUUCGCCGGCGCCUCACUUCGAGGGUGGCCGAUCGGGAGCUCUGUGCUUCAAACCGUCUUCGGACAACAACUGACAACUUGACCUCAAAUCGAGUAGGACUACCCGCUGAACUUAAGCAUAUCAAUAAGCAGAGGAAAAGAAACUAACAAGGAUUCCCCUAGUAACGGCGAGUGAAGAGGGAAGAGCUCAAAUUUUGAAUCUGGCGUCUUUGGCGUCCGAAUUGUAAUCUAGAGAAGUGUUUUCCGUGACGGACCGUGCAUAAGUCUCCUGGAAUGGAGUGUCAUAGAGGGUGAGAAUCCCGUAUAUGGCACGGACUCCCGUUGCUCUGUGAUACACUCUCGACGAGUCGAGUUGUUUGGGAAUGCAGCUCUAAAUGGGUGGUAAAUGCCAUCUAAAGCUAAAUAUUGGCGAGAGACCGAUAGCGAACAAGUACCGUGAGGGAAAGAUGAAAAGCACUUUGGAAAGAGAGUGAAACAGUACGUGAAAUUGUUGAAAGGGAAACGCUUGAAGUCAGUCGCGCCGUUCGGGAUUCAGCCUUGCUUCUGCUCGGUUUACUUCCCGUUGGGUGGGUCAACAUCAGUUUCGAUCGGAGGAGAAAGGCUUGGGGAAGGUGGCAGCAUUCGUGCUGUGUUAUAGCCCCUGGUUGUAUACUUCGACUGGGACUGAGGAUCGCAGCACGCCUUUGGCCGGGGUCGCCC
rnacentral:rRNA from 1 species